ACCCUCCUCUUCUUCUUCCUCUUCCUUUUCUACCAUCGCUUCUUCUGAUCUUUGUCACAACUUAUGUAUCUCAUCAUCAUCAAGCAUUUUGUACUAAAAGAAAUCAACUAGCAAAUUGGGUGCGUCAAGUUCUUCAUUAGCCUGAACUACAUAUGAGUUUGUGAUAUCAUCUUCUUGAUAUACAUCAAUAUCUAGAAAUACAUUGUCAUCACCUGUAUCCACUG
rnacentral:lncRNA from 1 species